UGCGUAGGUGGUUUCUUAAGUCAGAGGUGAAAGGCUACGGCUCAACCGUAGUAAGCCUUUGAAACUGGGAAACUUGAGUGCAGGAGAGGAGAGUGGAAUUCCUAGUGUAGCGGUGAAAUGCGUAGAUAUUAGGAGGAACACCAGUGGCGAAGGCGGUCUACUGGGCACCAACUGACGCUGAGGCUCGAAAGCAUGGGUAGCAAACA
rnacentral:rRNA from 1 species